rnacentral:misc_RNA from 1 species
GAUGAAGAACGUAGCGAAAUGCGAUAACUAAUGUGAAUUGCAGAAUUCAGUGAAUCAUCGAGUCUUUGAACGCACAUUGCGCCCCCUGGUAUUCCGGGGGGCAUGCCUGUCCGAGCGUCAUUGCUGCCCUCAAGCACGGCUUGUGUGUUGGGCUCCGUCCCCCCGGGGACGGGCCCGAAAGGCAGCGGCGGCACCGAGUCCGGUCCUCGAGCGUAUGGGGCUUUGUCACCCGCUCUGUAGGCCCGGCCGGCGCCAGCCGACAACCCAUCAUCCUUUUCAGGUUGACCUCGGAUCAGGUAGGGAUACCCGCUGAACUUAAGCAUUCAAUAGCGGAGGA